UACGUAGGUGGCAAGCGUUGUCCGGAAUUAUUGGGCGUAAAGAGCGUGUAGGCGGCCAGGUAGGUCUGCUGUGAAAACUCGAGGCUUAACCUCGAGAUGUCGGCGGAAACCAUCUGGCUAGAGUCCGGAAGAGGAGAAUGGAAUUCCCGGUGUAGCGGUGAAAUGCGCAGAUAUCGGGAAGAACACCCGUGGCGAAGGCGGUUCUCUGGGACGGUACUGACGCUGAGACGCGAAAGCGUGGGGAGCGAACAGG
rnacentral:rRNA from 1 species